GCCGGGAUGGCGAAAUUGGUAGACGCAGUAGAUUCAAAAUCUACCGGGGCAACCCAUGCGGGUUCGAGUCCCGCUCUCGGCACCA
rnacentral:tRNA from 1 species